AACAAACGCUGGCGGCGUGCCUAAUACAUGCAAGUCGAACGGGGAAAGCUUUCGGGUGAGUACUAGUGGCGCACGGGUGAGGAACGCGUGGAUAAUCUGCCUUAGAGUGGGGGAUAACUAGUCGAAAGAUUAGCUAAUACCGCAUAAGACCACGAGAGCUGCGGCUUUUGAGGUCAAAGGUUUUUCGCUCUAAGAUGAGUCCGCGUAAGAUUGCUAGUUGGUGAGGUAACGGCUCACCAAGGCGACGAUCUUUAACUGGUCUGAGAGGAUGAUCAGUCACACUGGAACUGAGACACGGUCCAGACUCCUACGGGAGGCAGCAGUAGGGAAUAUUGCACAAUGGAGGAAACUCUGAUGCAGCGACGCCGCGUGAGUGAUGAAGGCCUUCGGGUCGUAAAGCUCUGUCGCAGGGGAAUAACACAAUGAAGGUACCCUGUAAGAAAGGAUCGGCUAACUUCGUG
rnacentral:rRNA from 1 species